AGGACGAACGCUGGCGGCGUGCUUAACACAUGCAAGUCGAGCGGAAAGGCCCUUCGGGGUACUCGAGCGGCGAACGGGUGAGUAACACGUGAGCAAUCUGCCCCUAGCUCUGGGAUAGCUCCGGGAAACCGGGAUUAAUACCAGAUACAACCACUUUAGACAUCUUUUGUGGUGGAAAGGAUUCCGGCUAGGGAUGAGCUCGCGGCCUAUCAGCUUGUUGGUUGGGGUAACGGCCCACCAAGGCGACGACGGGUAGCCGGCCUGAGAGGGCGACCGGCCACACUGGGACUGAGACACGGCCCAGACUCCUACGGGAGGCAGCAGUGGGGAAUAUUGCGCAAUGGGCGAAAGCCUGACGCAGCGACGCCGCGUGGGGGAUGAAGGCCUUCGGGUUGUAAACCCCUUUCACCAGGAGCGAAUUCAGACGGUACCUGGGGAAGAAGCGCCGGCUAACUACGUGCCAGCAGCCGC
rnacentral:rRNA from 1 species